AUUGAACGCUGGCGGCAUGCUUUACACAUGCAAGUCGAGCGGCAGCGCGGGGGCAACCCUGGCGGCGAGCGGCGAACGGGUGAGUAAUGCAUCGGAACGUAUCCUCGAGUGGGGGAUAACCCAGCGAAAGUUGGGCUAAUACCGCAUGAGCUCUGAGGAGGAAAGCGGGGGACCUGCGAGGGCCUCGCGCUGGAGGAGCGGCCGAUGUCCGAUUAGCUAGUUGGUGGGGUGAAGGCUUACCAAGGCGACGAUCGGUAGCUGGUCUGAGAGGAUGAUCAGCCACACUGGGACUGAGACACGGCCCAGACUCCUACGGGAGGCAGCAGUGGGGAAUUUUGGACAAAGGGGGCAACCCUGAUCCAGCCAUGCCGCGUGAGUGAAGAAGGCCUUCGGGUUGUAAAGCUCUUUCGGACGGAACGAAAUGGGCGGGACUAAUACUCCUGUCUGAUGACGGUACCGUAAGAAGAAGCACCGGCUAACUACGUG
rnacentral:rRNA from 1 species